AAACAAUAUCAUUUGUUAAAGAGAAAGAGUGCGAGAGUUCCACCAGCCUUCCACAUACCCGAGAGAGAAAUUUUCCAUGUUACAUUAUAAGUUAUUAAUCCAUUGUUAAGUGAUUCAUUCGAUAAAGAAAAUGUCUAAAUAUUCACAAGUUGAUGGCACACAGUUCAUUAGUUCACUAUAUUCUUCGUCUUCACGGGCCGUCGUCGUAAUUGUCGUCAUUAUCGUUCUUCGUCUUUCGUCUCGGUCGGGGCGAGUUGUUGGCCCGUCGUUCAUCUUACAUUUUCGUUGUUUUUUUGUUCACCGAUAUCCAGUUUACUUCUUCUUUCUCCGCUGACUAACUGUUCCGACUGUUCUGUCUCUCCCUUUUUGACUAUUCACUCGCUUCUGCCGACUAAUCUCUUCGUUCGUUCCGUCUCGAAAUACCGUGGGAACUUCCUGGUGGUAGAUAGCCUCUCACCAUCCCGAGGCGGAACUAACGGGUAGUUCCUUUAAGAACGAUG
rnacentral:lncRNA from 1 species